rnacentral:lncRNA from 1 species
UGGUUUCUCUUAUGCAUAUCAUAGAUCGCCUUGAAAAACAUCCUUCCCCUCCAAUUUCUAUCCACAAACAGCAAGUUGAAUCUCUCACUCAAAAUGUUAUCUUCUUGCAGGAUUUUCUUGAUGCUUAUAUUUCCCCAGUUGUGGAUGGCCAUGAAGCGGAUCCAUUGGAGCGUCGCAUUGCUGAUGCAGUUUAUGCAGCUGAGGAUGUCAUCGAAUCCCAAAUUGUGCUUCAAAUUGAUAAUCGACCCAAAAUUCCUGGGAAGAUGUCCAGUUUUAUCAACUUGUUUCGAGCUCGGUGCAAAUGCGCAACUAUUGAUAGAAAUGAAUUGGAGGUCGGUGUAAAUGCAGCUGAGGACUUCUAUCACGAUCUGCAACAAGUGAUAGAAGAAAUGAAUUCGAUCUCAACCGCAGCUGAUCAACUGCAGAGAAAGGUCUCCUCAACUCAUGCUGCCUCCUCUUCCACUGUUAUCAAGAAGGAUGUCUUGGAGAUUGUUGCCGCAGCUCAAUUGCCGAGAAAGGUCUCCUCAACUCAUGCUGCCUCCUCUUCCUAUGUGAAGGAAAGCAUGAUGGUGGGCUUCAAGGAGGUGUUACUUGAAGUGCUGGAUAAGCUCACCGGAGGCCAACGCAGUCGCCAAAUCAUCCCAAUCAUGGGGAUGGGCGGCAUUGGUAAGACCACUCUUGCCCGACAUCUAUUUGAGCAUGCGCUUGUUAAAGAGCAUUUUGAUAUUUGUGCUUGGACUACAAUUUCUCAAACUUAUAAUGUCAGAGAAACACUUAGAGAAGUUCUUUUCCAAGCAAGUGGGGAUUCGGGUAGUGAUCUGAAUGAGGUUGAAUUGGGAGAAAAAUUGUAUAAGUAUUUAUACGAUAGGAGGUAUCUCAUAAUUAUGGAUGAUAUGUGGAGUAUAGAGGUGUGGGACAAGAUCAGGUCUUCCUUUCCUGAUUGCAAUGAUGGGAGUCGAAUCAUUGUAACAACUAGGCUGUCAAACUUGACUUCACAGUUGGGUGAGUCUUAUGGCGUUGGUAUGAAAUUUCUAGAUGAGGCUAGUAGUUGGGAUUUGUUCACCAACACUGUGUUUGGGGGAGAAAGUUUCCCUCAUGAGUUGGAGAACAUCGGAAAGAAUAUUGUAGCAAAUUGUAAAGGGCUUCCUUUAUCAAUUGCUACAAUUGGAGGUCUUUUGGCAAAAUCUGAGCGUACAAGAGAAUAUUGGGUGCGUAUAGAGCAAAAUUUAAAUUCAAUUGUGAUUACGAAUAAUGAUGAAUUUUGCUUGAAAAUAUUGCGAUUGAGCUAUACCUAUCUGCCCAACUAUUUGAAGCCAUGUUUUUUGUAUAUGGGUGUUUUUGAGGAAGAUCGUAGAAUUCGUGUCUCAAUGCUGAAGAAGCUAUGGGUUUCUGAAGGAUUUUUGAAACCCGUGAGUGGAAAAUGUUUGGAAACAAUAGCAGAUGAGUACUUGAAGGAGUUGGUAGAUAGAAAUCUGAUUUUAGUUGAUAAGUUGGGGGAGUUUAGUGGAAAUAUAAAGUUUUGUAAGAUUCAUGAUUUGUUGAGAGACUUAUGCUUGAAAGAAGUUGAAAAAGAGAGGUUUUAUGAUAUCAUAGAAAAGUCUCCUUCAGUCAUAGACAAUGAACGCCGUCGGGUUGUUUUCAAAAAUGCUGGAAGAAGGGAAAUACGUGAAGUCUCGAGAUCUUUGUCACAUGUUCGUUCUAUAAUAUGUGAUGAAGAUGGGAAAAACUUUGUAAGGCCUCACAAUUUCAGAUUGUUGAGAACAUUCAAAGCAUAUGAUAGAGAUAGUUAUCCAUUUGGAGAUGAUGGUGCUCAUUUCCUAGGCGAUGUUUUUCAAUUGGUGAACUCACGGCACCUUGCUGUUAGAGUUCAUAGUAAGCCAAAAUUCCCGUCUUCAAUCAAUUUGCUUUGGAAUCUAUCUACGUUAAUAGUUCAGCAGUCUGCAUUCCAUAAGUCUUGGGAUAUGAAAAGAUGUUGUAUUGUUACUCGUUGGCCUGUUCUUAUUGCACCGAUUGAGAUUUGGAAAUUGCAUCAACUUAGGCAUCUCGAGUUUGUGGGAGGGGCAUUGAUUCUCCCAGAUCCUCCGAGUGAGAUGGUUAUGAUGGAGAAUCUACAAACGCUGAGAGGAGCAAAGAAUUUGUAUUUGAAUGAGGAUGUGGUUAAAAGAAUCCCCAAUGUGAAGAAACUGCAUCUAAUUUACGAUGCCAAAGAAAUGGAGGGUUGUCUCAUCAAGAGUUUGAGUGAAUUGAAACAAAUGGAGAGAGCAAACUGUUUGAGCUAUCUUGAGUGUCUGAGUAAAUUGGAAAAAUUGUACUGCCACUUCUCUUUUGAUUGUGGAUAUGAAGAGUAUUUGCAGAGGAUUAGUUUCCCACACUCCCUCAAGAAGUUGAACUUAUCUCUCAUUUACUUUAUCAUCUGGAUUUGGAAGAGAUAUUGGAAAAGAUAGGGUGGUUGCCCCUUCUUCACAAGUUAGUAUUACAAUUUGGUACCUUCCAAACAGGCAAGUGGGACACUAUUGAGGGCCAAUUCCGGAGCCUCAAGCUACUAGAAUUGGACUGUUGUCAUGGUCUAAAAAAUUGGACGAUGGCAGAGAGAUUUCCAGUUCUCCAGGAGCUUCGUCUUCGAGAUUUGGUGCAAUUGAAGGAGAUCCCUUCAGAAGUUGGAGAAAUAGCAACGCUGAAAUCAAUUGAUUUGAGAUUUUGUAGUGAAUCAGCGGUAGUGUCAGCUAAAAGGAUAUUAGAAGAACAAGAGGAUUAUAUGGAGACCAACUUGACCUUCAUGUUCGAGCUCAAGUUCGGAUCACACGUACAAGCGAAAGACUGCAGAGCUUGGCAAGUCCCAACUUUGAAGUUAUAUAGUGAGUUAUUCUUAGAAUCAUCCAAGAUUGUUAGUUACGAGUUUAGACCUUUUGUUUUGUGAGCUUAUAAAACUUUGAGCUUUUGCUGCUUCAAGUAUAAUAUACUCCCUUUGUACCACUACGUAUGGCUUCCUAUUUCUAGGCACAACUACUGAGAAAAAGAGCGAUUAAAGUAUAAAAGUGAUGAAUAAUAGUGGAGCCCACAACUUUUUGUAAAAAUGAGUGGCUUUCGUUUUUGGAAUGUGCCAUUAUUAAUGGGACAAACGAAAAAGAAAAGGGAGCCAUUAUUAAUAGGACUGAUGAAUCCCUUAAUUUGUGUUUUGGGCUCUUAAAAGUGCUCUUCACCAUGAACAUUAAAUUUAAUAACAUAAAAUUAAGUGAAAUUAAAAUUUAAUAGAUAUGUAAAAUUAAUUAUGUAGUUUUAAUUUUUUAUGAUAAUAGUACCUUGAAAAUAUAAAAAUAAAUUGCAUGUGACAUAUAAAGAAUAUAUGUACAUAAUUAGUUAAUUAGUUUUUUAAUUAUUUGCCAAAAAUAGAACUGGACAUUACAAGACAUUCCAUUAUAGACAUUUGUAAUGUGACAAAGAGAGUAUUAUUUUAAAUAUGUCCAAGUUUCUUCUUGAAUCAUUUUUUUUUUCUUUUCGUGAUGGGACCAACUUGGUCAGCAAUGAUGGGAUUAAAGGAUCAAAAGUCUAGUCAAUAGGUCAAUAUUUGGUCAAAUUGGUAGUCUAUUGAUUUUCUUCUUUUCUACAAACUAGUAUUAUACCCGUACAUGCACGGUAUGAAUAUUUUCUUUUAAGUUUUUAAUUUAUAGGAAGUAAUUCAUAAGGUUAUUGUUGAUACAUAGAGUGCUAUCCCGAGAAAAAACUAUAAUAAAUAAUAAUAUACACUAAUUCAUAAGGUAUAUACACCACUUGUCACCCUAACAUUACAUUUAAAAAAAAAACACCUAGUCGAUCCUUAACAAUUUUUUAUGAAGUGCUUAAAGCUACUAACAUAGUAGUGUAAUAUUUUGCGAGAGCAAAUUAAGCAAAUUAGAUCAUUUUUUCUUUUCUUUUUGUAAAUAUUUAUUUUCAAACACUUCAUAACAUGCUUAAUUUAUAAGCUUCAAUAUCUUAUAAAAUGUUGCUAAAUUUUAUUAUGACCCUAAAGUGAAGAAUGAGAAGCAGAAUGCAGUCUGUUUGGGCCGACCCAAGACUUUGAUGGUUGGGCUAAAAGUAAAGUUCCCAAACCUGAGCCCAAGGCCCCAAAGCAAAACUUGGACACCAACUCUAAACUAAUCCUCCUAUCUUCUAGUAUAUUUUUUUAGCCCAUAACUGAAAUUAUAAGCUGCAAAAUAAAUGAAAUAUAUUCUUUCAAAAAUGAGAAAAUUGAUAAUAUACUAUUAAAAAGAUAACUUCUAAUUUGAAAUCAAUUUCAAAAUUAAGUGGUAAUUUUUUUUAUCUUUUUAUUUGUUUGUUUUAUUUAUUUCUAAAAUUAUGAAAUUUGACUAAAUAUGAAGUAUAUAAUAUGAUAAUUGCGACGAAGUAGAUAGAAAAUUAAGAAAAUUCAACGCAGAAUUUUCUUUUGAGUCCACACGUAUUUAAUAUGUGGUCCUUUCUUUAACACUAGCCCCGAAAUUAGGUAGAACCUUAUCAUGCUCUUAUGGCCUUAUAUAUUGCCAGAGUGGUUGGGGACUAUAUCUGCCAGCUAUAAAAACUUCCAUAUCUCAAUUGUGGAAUCAUAAUAUAUACUAUACCAGAUUGCUUGCCUUCUUCACCUCUCAAAUACUAUCUCAUAUAUAUAUUUUCAUUCACACUUCCCAUAAAUAUAUACAUUAUUAACUCAAAGAGUUAAUCAUGGCGGCUUAUGGAGCUCUGGUUUCUCUUAUGCAUAUCAUAGAUCGCCUUGAAAAUCAUCCUUCCCCUCCAAUUUCUAUCCACAAACAGCAAGUUGAAUCUCUCACUCAAAAUGUUACCUUCUUGCAGGAUUAUCUUGAUGCUUAUAUUUCCCCAGUUGUGGAUGACCAUGAAGCAGAUCCAUUGGAGCGUCGCAUUGCUGAUGCAGUUUAUGCAGCUGAGGAUGUCAU